rnacentral:rRNA from 1 species
UAGGGAAUCUUCCACAAUGGACGAAGGUCUGAUGGAGCAACGCCGCGUGAGUGAAGAAGGGUUUCGGCUCGUAAAACUCUGUUGUUAAAGAAGAACAUAUCUGAGAGUAACUGUUCAAUGUGUGACGGUAUCUUACCAGAAAGGAACGGCUAAAUACGUACCAG